rnacentral:rRNA from 1 species
AAUGAACGCUGGCGGCAUGCCUAACACAUGCAAGUCGAACGAGACCUUCGGGUCUAGUGGCGCACGGGUGCGUAACGCGUGGGAAUCUGCCCUUGGGUUCGGAAUAACAGUGAGAAAUUACUGCUAAUACCGGAUAAUGACGUAAGUCCAAAGAUUUAUCGCCCAGGGAUGAGCCCGCGUAGGACUAGCUAGUUGGUGAGGUAAAGGCUCACCAAGGCGACGAUCCUUAGCGGUCUGAGAGGAUGAUCAGCCACACUGGGACUGAGACACGGCCCAGACUCCUACGGGAGGCAGCAGUGGGGAAUAUUGGACAAUGGGCGAAAGCCUGAUCCAGCAAUGCCGCGUGAGUGAUGAAGGCCUUAGGGUUGUAAAGCUCUUUUUACCCGGGAUGAUAAUGACAGUACCGGAGAAUAAGCUCCGGCUAACUCCGUGCCAGCAGCCGCCGU